UCAAUAAGCGGAGGAAAAGAAACUAACAAGGAUUCCCCUAGUAACUGCGAGUGAAGCGGGAAGAGCUCAAAUUUAAAAUCUGGCGGUUCCGCCGCCCGAGUUGUAGUCUGGAGAAGUGUUAUCUGCGUCGGACCGUGUACAAGUCUCCUGGAAUGGAGCGUCAUAGAGGGUGAGAAUCCCGUCCAUGACACGGACCCCCGAUGCUUUGUGAGGCACUCUCAAAGAGUCGAGUUGUUUGGGAAUGCAGCUCAAAAUGGGUGGUAAAUUCCAUCUAAAGCUAAAUAUUGGCGAGAGACCGAUAGCGAACAAGUACCGUGAGGGAAAGAUGAAAAGCACUUUGGAAAGAGAGUUAAACAGUACGUGAAAUUGUUGAAAGGGAAACGCUUGAAGUCAGUCGCGUCCCGUGGAACUCAGCCUGGCCUCGGCUUGGUGUACUUUCCAUGAGACGGGUCAACAUCAAUUUCGGCCGGUGGAAAAGGGCGAAGGGAAUGUAGCGUUGUUUCGACGGCGUGUUAUAGCCUCUCGUCGUAUACGCUGGCUGGGAUUGAGGACUGCAGCACGCCCUUGUGGCCGGGGUUCGCCCACGUAACGUGCUUAGGAUGUUGGCAUAAUGGCUUUAAGCGACCCGUCUUGAAACACGGACCAAGGAGUCUAACAUGCUUGCGAGUGUUCGGGUGGAAAACCCUUGCGCGUAAUGAAAGUGAAAGUUGGGAACCUCCGCAAGGGGGCGCACCGACGCCCGGCCCUGACGUUCUCUGACGGUGCUGCGGUAGAGCAAGUAUGUUGGGACCCGAAAGAUGGUGAACUAUGCCUGAAUAGGGCGAAGCCAGAGGAAACUCUGGUGGAGGCUCGUAGCGAUUCUGACGUGCAAAUCGAUCGUCAAAUUUGGGUAUAGGGGCGAAAGACUAAUC
rnacentral:rRNA from 1 species